UAUAUGGUAAUGUAAUUUGCAUAAAAAUUUUUGAAGUUUUCAGUGAUAGAUACUCUAUCCCAUAUAA
rnacentral:tRNA from 1 species